rnacentral:rRNA from 1 species
CCUACGGGGUGCAGCAGUGAGGAAUAUUGGUCAAUGGGCGAGAGCCUGAACCAGCCAAGCCGCGUGAGGGAAGACGGUCCUAUGGCUUGUAAACCUCUUUUGCCGGGGAGCAAAAAGCGGUACGUUUACCGCACCGAGAGUACCCGGAGAAAAAGCAUAGGCUAACUCCGCGCCAGCAGCCGCGGUAAUACGGAGGAUGCGAGCGUUAUCCGGAUUUAUUGGGUUUAAGGGGUGCGCCGGGGGCGCGUUAAUUCAGAGGUAAAAUUUCGGGGCACAACGCCGACAAGCCGUUGAAUCUGGCUUGCUAGAGUGGGCAAGAAGUAUGCGGAAUGCGUGGUGUAGCGGUGAAAUGCAUAGAUAGCACGCAGAACUCCGAUUGCGAAGGCAGCACACCGGCGCCCAACUGACGCUCAUGCACGAAAGCGUGGGUAUCGAACAGGAUUAGAUACCCCUGUAGUC